ACUUGAUUAGUUUGUUGGUAGGGUAAUGGCCUACCAAGACAAUGAUCAAUAGCUGAUUUGAGAGGAUGAUCAGCCACAUUGGGACUGAGACACGGCCCAAACUCCUACGGGAGGCAGCAGUAGGGAAUCUUGCACAAUGGGGGAAACCCUGAUGCAGCGAUGCCGCGUGAGUGAAGAAGGCCUUUGGGUUGUAAAGCUCUUUCGUCGGGGAAGAAAAUGACUGUACCCGAAUAAGAAGGUCCGGCUAACUUCGUGCCAGCAGCCGCGGUAAUACGAAGGGACCUAGCGUAGUUCGGAAUUACUGGGCUUAAAGAGUUCGUAGGUGGUUAAAAAAGUUGGUGGUGAAAUCCCAGAGCUUAACUCUGGAACUGCCAUCAAAACUUUUUAGCUAGAGUAUGAUAGAGGAAAGCAGAAUUUCUAGUGUAGAGGUGAAAUUCGUAGAUAUUAGAAAGAAUACCAAUUGCGAAGGCAGCUUUCUGGAUCAUUACUGACACUGAGGAACGAAAGCAUGGGUAGCGAAGAGGAUUAGAUACCCUCGUAGUCCAUGCCGUAAACGAUGUGUGUUAGACGUUGGAAAUUUAUUUUCUGUGUCGCAGCGAAAGCAAUAAACACACCGCCUGGGGAGUACGACCGCAAGGUUAAAACUCAAAUGAAUUGACGGGGACCCGCACAAGUAGUGGAGCAUGUGGUUUAAUUCGAAGAUACGCGCAGAACCUUACCAACACUUGACAUGUUCGUCGCGACUUUAAGAGAUUAAAGUUUUCGGUUCGGCCGGACGAAACACAGGUGCUGCAUGGCUGUCGUCAGCUCGUGUCGUGAGAUGUUGGGUUAAGUCCCGCAACGAGCGC
rnacentral:rRNA from 1 species